ensembl:lincRNA
GAAUAGGGAAAGUUUUCUUCAAAGAAUUUUUUCUUCACACGCAGCCACGCCCUCCAAACGGCCAGUCACGCUGCGGGUUCGAGCCCCAUCCCUUCUACCUGGAACCUCACCAGGGCCCGGCUCGGGCACCCUCGCCAAGGCGGCGCCAGGGCCGCGGCGCAGAGCCUUCUGGGACUUGUAGUCCGCACUUGGCGGCGAGGGGCGCGCGGCCGGCUGGGGCCUCGGUGGUUCCGGGGACCAGGAAGCAGCCCGCGGCGCAGAAUGGGAGGCCGGCGCCGGCGGGUGGAGCGGCCUGGCGGGGCGCGUGAGGACCGGGCGCCAUCGCGGUGGGCGCGGGGUGGAGCGCGGGGUGCGCGGUGCGAGCCUCGGUCCCCGGCGUCGGCGGCACCUGGCGACCCGCGCAGCCAGGCCGGAGAGGUCCCGCCAACCCCUGCGGUGCCCUGAGGGAAGCGGGGUGACGGGGUCGGGCAGUGACGGGGACCGCGCUGCCGACGGAGCUCAGCGACACGAACCGGAUGGCGGAGCGGGCGAGUCUGACUGUCGUGGGCGGCGCCCGGCGGAGCGCAGCUUGAGACCCAUACCUGGGCUGUGGAUAGCCCCGGGUCGGCGUGUGCGAGGUGGGGGCUGCACGUCUGUGGCCCAGGCGGGGCGGACGCUGUCGUGGGUGUCCCCAACUCCAUGGCCACCCUCUAGAUAGGCGCUUACCUGGCUGGGUGCAAGCCAGGGCUCGGAAAUGGCUGAGCAGCUGUCCAUGGGGGACCAUCUUGAUAUGCAGUCUAAGGAAGGUUGAUUUCUUUUUUCUUUUUCUUUCUUUCCUUUUUUUGGCACCUGGGAUGGAACUCAGGGGCACUCAACCACUGACCACAUCCCCAGCCCUAUUUCAUAUUUUAUUUAGAGACAGUUGCUGACAGGAGUAAGAGACUGCGUGGAGGUCCCUUGACCGCUCCCGGGUGGUCCUGAAGUCAAGGUCGGCCCUGCCCCAGGUAACCUCUUCCUGCCAGGAUCUGUGUCUUGAAGAAAGAAGCCUCAGCACACGCGAUGCCUUUUGGAAUGCUCGGUUUAUUCACUCCAGGGGCAUCACAUCAAAGGAGGCACAGGAACAGAGGCUGGCAGGACGCAGUUCGCUGGAUGUUGACCCACCAACAUAGCGGGUCUGAACUGGCCAAAGAGCUCAGCCUUCCUGGCCUUUAAAUACUAUAGUUGUUUACAACACUUCAAACCAAAAGCAUGUUUAUUCCAUAACUUCUAUUUCUUAUCCUAUCUUAACAGAUUGUCUCUAUUGCAUCACACCUUGCUUACAUCUUGCUUAUCUUAAACUAUCACACUUGUUUUGUGCUAAAACACCUCAAAACAUGUUUACCUUAUAUCCUUAUCUAUUUCACACAUUUUUCUAGCUUAGGCACCUUUCUUCAUCAAAACAUGUUUACUUCAAACUCUCCUGUCCUUUGUUUAUUCCAAACUCUCCUGUAGCUCCUGUCAUUCCACCCCCUUGAUACCGAGACCAAUAAAAGGGGUGAAGGUAUCAAUGACUAUCCACCACUGCAUGUUAAACAGCCAGUGACACCACUAUCCUUCAAAGGUGUCAAAGAAAUAUCACUGUAACAUACAAUGAUUGCAUCCUGUAGAGGUGCAAAAUCCUACAAUACACAGCGGGAGAUAUUGAACUAAAGAAUUCCAAACUUCACAGCACACAGGGUAAGGUACAAUGCUAGGAUAGUUUUCCAACAUGUGUCGCAAUUGUCCAUCAGUUAUGUUCUUCAAAAGUAUUACUGCUCCGUGGCAUACUCUCAGGGGUCCUGUUAUUUCUGUCUCUUCGUACAGUGGAACCAGUGGUACCGGAGCACUCGGAGGUGUUUUGGUCAAAUUCCAAGCAUGUCUCCAUAGUUGGUUUUUCUUUCGGCGACCCAAGAUUCUUUCUAUUACUAUCCGAUCCAUAGACACGUUGUUGUAAAAACACCUAUCAACAAGUAAAUAUAGCACAAAUUAAAGAAUUAAAACAUUUGUUUUAGUUGACAUGUCCGUCAUUGUUGGGAAUAGAAAGGGUCCAUGCACAUUGUGAGGUAUCUUUUUUAGGCGCGGAAUUUUAAAAGAAAAAUUUUGUGUCUUGUCCGAAUGAGCUGGCCACUUUGUUCAUGCAACACAAUAAAUU